rnacentral:rRNA from 1 species
UACGUAGGGGGCAAGCGUUGUCCGGAAUCAUGGGGCGUAAAGAGCGUGUAGGCGGCCAGAUAAGUCCGCUGUGAAAUCUCGAGGCUCAACCCCGAGCCUGCAGUGGAUACGGGCAGACUAGAGUGAUGUAGGGGAGACUGGAAUUCCUGGUGUAGCGGUGAAAUGCGCAGAUAUCAGGAGGAACACCGGUGGCGAAGGCGGGUCUCUGGGCCGAUAUUGACGCUGAGGAGCGAAAGCGUGGGGAGCAAACAGG